rnacentral:rRNA from 1 species
CUCAGUUCGGAUCGGAGUCUGCAACCCGACUCCGUGAAGCUGGAUUCGCUAGUAAUCGCGCAUCAGCCAUGGCGCGGUGAAUACGUUCCCGGGCCUUGUACACACCGCCCGUCACACCAUGAGAGUCGGGAACACCCGAAGUCCGUAGUCUAACCGCAAGGGGGGCGCGGCCGAAGGUGGGUCCGGUAAUUGGGGUGAAGUCGUAACAAGGUAAC